AUUGAACGCUGGCGGCAUGCCUUACACAUGCAAGUCGAACGGUAACAGGUCUUUGGAUGCUGAAGAGUGGCGAACGGGUGAGUAAUACAUCGGAACGUGCCUAGUUGUGGGGGAUAACUACUCUCAAGAGUGGCUAAAACAGCACGAGAUCUAUGGAUGAAAGCAGGGGAUCGCAAGACACUGUGCUACAAUAGCGGACGAUGGGAGAUUAGGUAGUUGGUGGGAUAAAAGCUUACCAAGCCGACGAUCUGUAGCUGGUCUGAGAGGACGAUCAGCCACACUGGGACUGGGACACGGCCCAGACUCCUGCGGGAGGCAGCAGUGGGGAAUUUUGGACAAUGGGCGCAAGCCUGAUCCAGCAAUGCCGCGUGCAGGAUGAAGGCCUUCGGGUUGUAAACUGCUUUUAGACGGAACGAAAAGCCCCGGGUUAAUACCCUGGGGUCAUGACGGUACCGUAAGAAUAAGCACCGGCUAACUACGUGCCAGCAGCCGCCGUAA
rnacentral:rRNA from 1 species